CCAGCCCUCGGCGCAUGCGCAAGGCCAGCACCCGGCGGGUCUAGCUCUCAGCUCAGUCCCGCGCUACCUCCUCUUCCUCUUUCAGCCCUGCGUUUCUUGGGUGCAGCUUCCGGGGUGCCUAGGCCGGUUCCAGAGUGGCCAAUUCCUGCUUUUUCGGUACUUUUCCCACGCCCUUUGUCCCCCAGACGCCAUUUACAGGCCCGUGGCUCGUGGUGGAACCUCCCCCCACCAGCCCCGUCACGGAAAGCGCGCGUAGCGCUGCGCCCCAAGAGCCAAUCAGCAGCCGUCUUAGGCAACCAUGUCUGAGUCUGGCCAUAGUCAGCCUGGGCUCUAUGGGAUAGAGAGGCGUCGGCGGUGGAAGGAGCCUGGCCCUGGCGGCCCCCAGAACCUUUCUGGCCCUGGUGGUCGGGAGAGGGACUACAUUGCCCCAUGGGAGAGAGAGAGACGGGAUGGCAGUGAAGAGACGAGCUCCUCGGUCAUGCAGAAAACCCCCAUCAUCCUCUCAAAACCUCCAGCCGAGCGGUCAAAGCAGCCACCACCUCCAACAGCCCCUGCCACCCCACCUGCUCCAGCCCCUCUUGAGAAGCCUAUCGUCCUCAUGAAACCACGGGAAGAGGGGAAAGGGCCUGCAACUGUGACAAAUGUCUCAACCCCCGAGGGCACUGCCCCUGCACCCGCUGCAGCUCCAGCACCACCCAAGGGAGAAAAGGAGGGGCAGAGACCCACACAGCCUGUGUAUCAGAUUCAGAACCGAGGCAUGGGCACUGCCGCACCAGCAGCCAUGGACCCUGUCGUGGGCCAGGCCAAACUACUGCCCCCAGAACGCAUGAAGCACAGCAUCAAGUUGGUAGACGACCAGAUGAACUGGUGUGACAGCGCCAUUGAGUACCUGUUGGAUCAGACUGAUGUGUUGGUGGUCGGUGUCCUUGGCCUCCAGGGGACAGGCAAGUCCAUGGUCAUGUCAUUGUUGUCGGCCAACACUCCUGAGGAGGACCAGAGGGCAUAUGUUUUCCGGGCCCAGAGUGCCGAAAUGAAGGAACGAGGGGGCAACCAGACCAGUGGCAUUGACUUCUUUAUUACCCAAGAGCGGAUUGUUUUCCUGGACACACAGCCCAUCCUGAGCCCCUCCAUCUUGGACCACCUUAUCAAUAAUGACCGUAAGCUGCCUCCAGAGUACAACCUGCCCCACACCUAUGUUGAGAUGCAGUCACUCCAGAUUGCUGCUUUCCUCUUCACGGUCUGCCAUGUGGUGAUCGUUGUCCAGGACUGGUUCACAGACCUCAGUUUAUACAGGUUCCUCCAGACAGCAGAGAUGGUGAAGCCCUCCACCCCAUCCCCCAGCCAUGAGUCCAGCAGCUCCUCAGGCUCCGAUGAAGGCACAGAGUACUACCCCCACCUGGUCUUCCUGCAGAACAAAGCUCGCCGAGAGGACUUCUGUCCUCGAAAGCUGCGACAGAUGCACCUGAUGAUUGACCAGCUCAUGGCUCAUUCCCACUUGCGUUACAAGGGUACUCUGUCCAUGUUACAGUGUAAUGUCUUCCCCGGGCUCCCACCGGACUUCCUGGACUCUGAGGUCAACUUGUUCCUCGUGCCCUUCAUGGACAGCGAGGCAGAGAGUGAAAACCCACCAAGAGCAGGACCCGGUUCCAGCCCUCUCUUCUCCCUGCUCCCUGGGUACCGCGGCCACCCCAGUUUCCAGUCCUUGGUGAGCAAGCUCCGGAGUCAAGUGAUGUCAAUGGCCCGGCCACAGCUGUCACACACGAUCCUCACGGAGAAGAACUGCUCCAGUAUCUUGGACCGGGUGAAGUUUGACUGGAAAACUCUGCUCGCCAUGGGCUACCUGAGGUACAGGCUUCUGUCUUCAGAAUGGAUGACCUUCAACAGGACGGGCUGCACCAGAGCCAGGACAUGGGCCAGCUCCCUCUGAUCCUUUUGCCAGACAACCUCCCCAUACCAUCUUUGUACCGUUGACCACCCGCUGUGUGCCAGGACCUCUUUGGGUGCUACAGUUCCAACACCAGCAAGAAACUCGAUGGAAUAGGCCUGGUGCAUCUGUGAAGACACUGCCCCCACGACUGCUGGUUUCAGGGACCCACAUCUGCUCAGGACCCACAGUGUACACCUCCAUGAGCCCCGCCCUGCUCUGAGCCUCUGAGUCCUCCUUGGUGUUAUGGACUAGGGUACCAGCACGACUCCAACUAGUCCUAGCCAUACCAGGGACAUGGGUGACAUUGUGUGGGUCAUGUCCCCUCUGCAGCCUUUAGUUCCCCCUUCUGCUUCCUCACCUGUGAAAUGGAGAGAUGACUCCCCAAGUUACUCCAGCUCUGUUUUCAGAAGACUCAGGGUCUUAUUGUUGACAAGGUUCAAAGGCCAGCUUGAGGUGGUCUUGGAGCAUCAGACUGAGCUUGUGGGUUGCCAUGGAAGGGUUUUCAACAGGGAAGGGAGAGGUGCACAGUGGGCAUUGAGCCCCCAGUGGACUUUGGGGAAUGACACCAGAGCCUGGUAGAUGAGGCAAGGAGCAGGGGCAGGAGCUGCUGGAGAGGGUGAGGCCUGCCCUAGAACAGGGGCUGAGUGGGUGGAGAUGGGGGAUGAGGAAGGGACAGAUGGAGGCAGAAAAGACAGGACAGGGCAAUCAGUGGAUCUUAACCUUAGGCACAGUGUAGGGAGAGUAUUGCUAUUCAUGCCUGACCUUCCCAUCCCAGCCCCUCGGGGCCCACGAGUCCUGUGUUUAAGACAAUGUCUGAGGGUUCACAGGGCUAGGGAUGUGAACUGUUUUUUUGAGAAAAGAUUUGGAGUGGACCAUCUGUCCUCAUAUCUGGGGGUCUGGGAUUUCCCUACCCUUAUUCCCCACCAGCUCUUCGGUGCAAAAAGAUCCAAAAGCAGUCCUGGCAGAUCCAAUGGAAAGGCAUUCCAGGAAGAGAAGAAUCCCUUUGCAAAGUACAGAGCUCUUCAGCAAAGAGAACUGGCACCCCCUGUAAUUGGCCAGGUGAAAGCGGCCCUUCUUAGUCUGGAACUGGUUCACAGGUUCAAGCUGUCGAGAAUAUACUUGAGGAGGAGGCCAAGCUUCCGGCGGGCCGAGAGCGGUGCUUCCUCACAGCCUCCCUCCCCAGAUCCCCGCUUUUCCACACCAUUGUCACCGGCUGCCUC